AGACCACUUUAUGUUGGGAACCACCAUAUGUGACAAGUCAUCUCUCCCUGUUUCAGACUAAAUUUCAGCUGCUCAACCAUUUAGAUCAUUGUAGUCUGUUUAAGGCACUAAAAACAUAAAGGUAGAAAUUUAUAUUUCUUGGACACAUGAAAUGUGAUGACACAUACAGCAACAAGUCAAACACUCCUUUAAAUUUUCUACCUUAUGUCAAAUAUUUCUUACUUUUAAAGACAUUCUUAUCCUGGUACAAAACCCCACAUAAAUUGAUCUUAGGGAAUUUAAGAAAUUAAAAUUUCACUCCAUAGAGUACGUGGCUUUAUUUCUUCAUCACUGAACUUCGAGUAACAUUCUUCACCUGAUCUUGUCUGCAAUGUUUAACCAAGGGUCCAGAUCAUUUGCAACUUGGGUACAAAUGUUGUUCAUCUUAAAAAGCCUUCACAUAUUGCCUAGAAGAGUGUCUCACACAUAAUAUGCCUUCAUUAACACUUGUGAAUCCAUCCUGGUGAAAGUAUUGUCUAGAACAAUUAUACAAAAAAUCAAUUAUUAUAAUGCAAAUAAUAUUUUACACAGACCAAGGGAAUUCAUCAUAUUAAAGUAUUUUUUUAAUAAAAGGAAGGUUUUUAGAAAAUAAUGGCCUCUUCCUUCAUGUUAAUAUAUUGCAAACUUGGAUUUGGUAUAAAUCAAGCCCCAAAAAGAUUGCUCUGAAUUUCCAAUUUAAUUUCUGAGUAACAUUAUAAAGCAGUUCAUUAAUUUACUCCAAAAACAUUUAUUGAACACUUCUGUGUAGGGGAUAUCUAUUGCAUGGUCCAUAACCUCAAAUUCAGAGUUAAUAAAUCUUUGUUUAAAAAAAGUAGUUAAAGCAAAUAUUUUUAUUUCAUUUAUUUACUAUCUUUUUAAUAUAAUAAUGUAUUUAAAUUAGUGGUGUGACUUGCAUGAGUCAAUUUUUAUUAUUUGCUUAAAGCAAUGAAACAAGGAAUCUGCUUCUUUCAAUGUUCUCAUUGUCUAAUUAUAGAUAAAUACACUGCAUGAAUCAACAUGAGAAUUUUGAAUGUUUUCCAUCGCAAGAGAUAAAACCAUUUUUAAAAUUUAUUUAAAAUUUGAAAUUCAUUUAAAAAAUGCAUGGAUGUUCUUUUCUGCAUCAUAGAAAGUUUGCUUUGAUAUAUGGUUCCUCUGAGAGAUAUUGGACCUGGAUGCUGACUGACCUCGGGGCUUAUACUUUCAGCAUCACAGUCUCCAAAUCAGCAGAUGAUGUCACAGUGGGUACUGAAACUUCUUUACAGUGGCAUUCUUAUAUGAAGCCAAAUCUUUGCAGUAUUUUCAGUCUAUGGGUAGUUGUUAGAACCCUAAAAUAACUUAAGGUAGAAUUUGGUCAUUUAUUGUUUUUUAUUAAAAUGUCCAACUGAGAACAUCCCUGAACAUCUGAACCAGACAUUUCACAUAGAGCUUUAAAUAUUCACUCAUUCAUUCAUGCAAUAAAUAUUUAUUUAUCGAGCAUUCAAUCAUCCAAGGACUGUUCUGGGUAUACAUAGUUGCGAUGAAGUCAGUAAAUGUGCCUUCACAUGGUCUGCAUUCUAGUGGGGAAGUCAAAUAGAGGUAAGUACAAGACCACAAAGGAGGUUAAAAAACAAAGUGUGAAAGGGAUGCUAUUUUAUACAAGGUGAUCAGGGCAAUCCUCUCAGAAGAGGUGAUAAUUGCUCAGACACCUGACUAAAGUGAGGGAGUGAAGCUAUGACAUGGAGAAAGUCAUUUCAGACACUGAAGAGAAAGCCAGGGCAGGCUCUGGAGGGGCUUGUUUAUGUAGACAAGGAGGGGCAAAGAAUCUUGUGGAUAAAGCAGAAUGAACAAGAGAAAGUGGGAUUGUAAAUGAAAUAUGAGAGCGAAGCAGGGUUAAAGCAUGGCAUGAUCUUGAGAUUUCAUUCUAAAUAUGGGAAGACGGUGGUUAGAUCUGAGAGAGGAAAUGAUAUAGGUUAAAUUUUCUUUUUAAAAAGAUUUCUUAGGCUACAGAGUAAGAAGGAAUCUUAGGAAGAACGAUAAGGAUGGCAACAAAAAAUCUGUUAUAAGAUAAAACAUUACGUAAUCCAGAGAGACAUGAUGGAGCUUAGACUCAGAAACGGAGAUGCUAAGAAUGAUUUGAAUUCUGGACCUAUUGUGAAGGCAGAGCUGACAAGAUUUGCUGAUAGACUGACACUGUGAUGUGAAAGAGAGCAGAGAUGACUCUAGAUUCUAAACCAUGAAGUAAAUGUUCGUGUAGUUGACUGAGAUGGUGAACAAUGGGUUAGAAGAAUAUUGGGGAGAAAAUCAUGUUUGCUUUUGGAAUAUCAGUUGGAGAUGUUUAUUAGAUACCCAAAUGGGAUAGGAGGAGUAUACAGCAGGCUGGAGUUAAAGGAAGAGGUUGAGCUGAAACAGAAAUCUGAGAGUAGUCAGCUUAUAAAUUGUAUUAAAAAUUACCAAUCUGUAUGAGACCGUCAAAAGACAGCACAGAUAAAGAAGAGAAAACCCAAGAUGGAGAUGCCUCUCACUCCAACGUAAAGACAUCAGGAAACAGGAGGGUAUUCCAGAACGUUCAGUGAGGCAGAGGGAAAACCAGGAGAAUGUGCUCUCCUGGAAGCCAAGUAAAGAAAGUGUUUCAAAAGUGAGGGCAUGGGCAGGGGUGCAGUGUUACUGAGAGACUGAGUAAGAUGGGGACUGGGGACUGAAGAUUCACAAUUGGACUAAAUCUGUUUGAAAGCCAUUGAUGACCCAAUGAGAGCAGUUUCUAUGCAGUACUGAGCAAGAAAAGAGUAACUCCAGUGAGUUCAAAAUAACAUGGGAAGUGAGGAAGUAGAAAUGGAUACAGAAAAGUCAAAAUUUUUUCUACAAAGUGCAGCAGAAGAAUGAUGUAAAAGUUGGAGAUAAAUGUGAGAUUGAGAUAAUUUUUUAAAAACUAAUAUAGAAUGGGUAAUAGUGUUGGUGGGGCCAACAGAUAAAUGGCAAAACUGAUAAUGCGAAAGAAAAAGGGGGUUAUUGCAUGUCCAAAGGCCAAGCAGCCCCGUAGCUAGGAUGCCGUGUGAAAGCCGAAGUCGCACCUCCCGCACGGCCCCUCCGGCCAGCCGGGCGCCUCAGAUGAGAGCUGCGCCCAGGCCAGCGCCAGCCGCUCAGCCACCAGCAGCGGCACCCUCCUCUGCAGUUGGCUCUCCUCCUGCUGCUGCGCCCCGGCAGCCAGGUCUGCUGUCCCAGAUGGCAACCACUGCAGCUGGUGUGGCUGUGGGCUCUGCUGUGGGGCACACACUGGGCCAUGCCAUUACUGGGGGCUUCCGUGGAGGAAGUGAUCCUGAGCCUGCGAGGCCUGACAUCACUUACCAGGAGCCUCAGGGAACCCAGCCAGCACAGCAGCAGCAGCAGCCUUGCUUCUAUGAGAUCAAACAAUUUUUGGAGUGUGCCCAGAACCAGGGUGACAUCAAGCUCUGUGAGGGUUUCAGUGAGGUGCUGAAACAGUGCCGACUUGCAAACGGAUUGGCCUAAUCAAGAAGUUCCACCUGGAGAAAUGGAAAACCAGCUCUCAUAACCAAGUUAACUUAAUAUAAAAAUUUCAUUAAUAGUGAAGGUAUAAAGUGUAGCCAUCAGUUAAACCUCUCCUGUCAUUCCUAGCUUCCUUGCUUCAGAAUUGAAAUGGAAGGGGGUGUUCCUACUCUGUAGAAUUUGGAGUUGGUCAAAUGUUUGUGUGGCCUCCUUAAACUAGCUGUUAUGAUUUUAUUCUUUGUGAGUUAAUUAGAAUAAAGUGAUUUUC